rnacentral:rRNA from 1 species
AGAGUUUGAUCCUGGCUCAGAUUGAACGCUGGCGGCAGGCCUAACACAUGCAAGUCGAGCGGUAACAGAGAGAAGCUUGCUUCUUUGCUGACGAGCGGCGGACGGGUGAGUAAUACUUGGGAACUUGCCUCUAGGCGGGGGACAACCACUGGAAACGGUGGCUAAUACCGCAUAAUGUCUACGGACCAAAGUGGGGGACCUUCGGGCCUCACACCUAGAGAUGGGCCCAAGCGGGAUUAGCUAGUUGGUGAGGUAAAGGCUCACCAAGGCGACGAUCCCUAGCUGUUCUGAGAGGAUGAUCAGCCACACUGGGACUGAGACACGGCCCAGACUCCUACGGGAGGCAGCAGUGGGGAAUAUUGCACAAUGGGCGCAAGCCUGAUGCAGCCAUGCCGCGUGUGUGAAGAAGGCCUUCGGGUUGUAAAGCACUUUCAGUGGUGAGGAAGGUCAGUAAGUUAAUAACUUGCUGAAUUGACGUUAGCCACAGAAGAAGCACCGGCUAACUCCGUGCCAGCAGCCGCGGUAAUACGGAGGGUGCAAGCGUUAAUCGAAUUACUCGCGUAAGCGUACGUAGCGUGUGUAAGCAAGAUGUGAAAGCCCGGGCUCAACCUGAGAAAUUGCAUUUUGAACUGCACGCUAGAGUCCUGAAGAGGGUGGUAGAUUUCCAGUGUAGCGGUGAAAUGCGUAGAUAUUGGAAAGGAAAUACCAGUGGCGAAGGGCGGCCACCUGGUCAGAGACUGACGCUGAGGUACGAAAGCGUGGGGAGCAACAGGAUUAGAUACCCUGGUAGUCCACGCCGUAAACGAUGUCAACUAGUUGUUCGUGUCACUAAGACGUGAGUAACGCAGCUAACGCACUAGUUGACCGCCUGGGGAGUACGGACGCAGGUUAAAACUCAAUGAAUUGACGGGGGCCCGCACAAGCGGUGGAGCAUGUGGUUUAAUUCGAUGCAACGCGAAGAACCUUACCAUCCCUUGACAUCCAGUGAACUUUCUAGAGAUAGAUUGGUGCCUUCGGGAACACUGAGACAGGUGCUGCAUGGCUGUCGUCAGCUCGUGUUGUGAGAUGUUGGGUUAAGUCCCGCAACGAGC